GACGAACGCUGGCGGCGUGCUUAACACAUGCAAGUCGAGCGGUAAGGCCCUUUCGGGGGUACACGAGCGGCGAACGGGUGAGUAACACGUGGGUGACCUGCCCUCAGCUCUGGGAUAAGCCCGGGAAACUGGGUCCAAUACUGGAUAUGACUCCAUGACGCAUGUUGUGGGGUGGAAAGCCUUGUGCGGCUGAGGAUGGGCCCGCGGCCUAUCAGCUUGUUGGUGGGGNGAUGGCCUACCAAGGCGACGACGGGUAGCCGGCCUGAGAGGGCGACCGGCCACACUGGGACUGAGACACGGCCCAGACUCCUACGGGAGGCAGCAGUGGGGAAUCUUGCGCAAUGGGCGAAAGCCUGACGCAGCGACGCCGCGUGAGGGAUGACGGCCU
rnacentral:rRNA from 1 species